rfam:Firmicutes bacterium CAG:194 genomic scaffold, scf123
CAAGUAGGACAAAUGAUCGCGGCUGCCAGACCGAAAGGCGGCAGACGAGGAAAGUCCGGGCUUCACAGGGCAGGAUGCCGGAUAACGUCCGGUGGAGGUGACUCCAAGGCAAGUGCAACAGAAAUAUACCGCCGGGAUCUCCCGGUAAGGGUGGAAAGGCAGCUUAAGAGACUACCGCCCUGCUGGUAACAGCAGGGGCACAUGUAAACCCCAUCCGAAGCAAGACCGAGCAGAGAACGAUGCAGCGGCCCGUUGCGUUCUCAGGUAGGUUGCUUGAGCCUGCUGGCAACAGCAGGUCUAGAUAGAUGAUCAUUCAACGACAUAACCCGGCUUACCGUCCUGCUUGCUUU